UUGGUUGUUAUCUUUGGUUAUCUAGCUGUAUGAGUGGUGUGGAGUCUUCAUAAAGCUAGAUAACCGAAAGUAAAAAUAACCCCAUACACUGCGCAGAGGGCCCGGAACGCUGGCGGCGGCAGGGCUGCAUGCAGGAAGGAAAGCCGCGCCAGGCGUCCCACGAGGCUGGGGGGCUGGGGCGGAUCAUCGUCUUCGAGAGUUGCUUAGCCCAGGCCACCUUCGAGGUCCCCACCCACUGAUGAGAAGAAAGCAAGAAACCGUUUAGGGGUCGCCUCUGGAGGCCUGGUCAGAACGGAGCAGUCCGGGUCCUAGUCCCGGGGAAGCUGCUCCCGGGACAGAUAGAGUCGUUGGAAUCUAGUUGCAAGGUUGUGGGAGACGUGCCAGCACCCCUCCCGGUCUGGACACCUCCAGGGAGCAGCAGCGGGCGACUGGUGUGAGCAGCUUCCCUUUGGCUCUUCGAAGCGACUGGCGGAGUUCGAGCAUCUCCCCUGGGCGGGUGGGUGUUCCACCCGCCCGCCCUCUCUCUGCGUUGUGGAUCAGGAUGUGAGGACCAGUGACAUCCAGCACCGCGGACAGCUCCCAGCGGCGAGUGAGUCUGCUGACCGAUCUAGGAGCGUGGAGACCCUCUCAGCUCCAUCCCUGCAGACUCCAGCCCAAUAUUCUGGAUCUGCCUAAGUCUCCGGAAAGAGGCUAGGGGUGUGGCACGGCAGCCUCGGGAACACUGGGCUUGAAUUUGGUCAACGCCUACAGCCAAAAGGCUCUUUGAAUGCCUCAUUCAUGCGAGGUAUGGCCCUGUGGAGCGGGCAGUCUAGUGGGAAAGCAGACACAACUCACCUCAGGCCAGUGGUUGCCCUGCAGUGUGCCCAGCGGCUUCCUGGAGAACACUCAAGCAGCUUUGCAAGCAUAAACCAGGCAGUAUGGAGUCUCUGUUCAGCGAAAUGAAUGAGGACCUGCAACCCCUGCCCCACAGGCUUCCAGCUUCUGAUCCUCUGGUCCUUGGAAUGCGCCCUAGGGAGGCAGGAGCCAGGAGACAGGGAUGGGCCAUUUCCUAGGCCAGUGGAUGGGAGGUUAGGACUCCUGAGAAGGCUCCAACUGGUCCCUGAGAACUCAGUCCCUCCCUUUAUCAACCAGCUGAAGGAGACCCUGGCUGACCCUGUCAUCUGGAUUGCUCCUCCCCAGCCACGGCCAGAGAAGACCUGACACCUCACCCUGCGCUUCCCUGCAAGGCAAAAUGUGUUCCCAGACUUCAAAGGGACUGGCUCCAGCAAGCAGAAGUGGACAGAGGCAGAGAUGCCACCGCCUGGCAGCUCUUUCCAGAGCUAUGAAAUGAGGGCUUGGUUACCUGGUUACUUCCAGCAAGUUGUUCCACCGUCCCAUCUAUUUCUCCUGUUGUCUCUCGACUGCAUCCCUAAAUCCUAUCCCAUGUCCAAUAAAGAGUGUUGUGGACUGAA